rnacentral:rRNA from 1 species
AUUGAACGCUGGCGGCAGGCCUAACACAUGCAAGUCGAGCGGCAGCGGGAAAGUAGCUUGCUACUUUUGCCGGCGAGCGGCGGACGGGUGAGUAAUGCCUGGGAAAUUGCCCAGUCGAGGGGGAUAACAGUUGGAAACGACUGCUAAUACCGCAUACGCCCUACGGGGGAAAGCAGGGGACCUUCGGGCCUUGCGCGAUUGGAUAUGCCCAGGUGGGAUUAGCUAGUUGGUGAGGUAAUGGCUCACCAAGGCGACGAUCCCUAGCUGGUCUGUGAGGAUGAUCAGCCACACUGGAACGGAGACACGGUCCAGACUCCUACGGGAGGCAGCAGUGGGGAAUAUUGCACAAUGGGGGAAACCCUGAUGCAGCCAUGCCGCGUGUGUGAAGAAGGCCUUCGGGUUGUAAAGCACUUUCAGCGAGGAGGAAAGGUUGAUGCCUAAUACGUAUCAACUGUGACGUUACUCGCAGAAGAAGCACCGGCUAACUCCGUGCCAGCCGCCGCAGUAAUAC